AAUCAUCAAUCUUAUAUUGCUUUUGUAAUGUCUGAUUGGAUUUGGAGACUGCUGGCUUAAUCGCUGGCUUCUCUUGAAUGCAUUAGUUGAAUCGACUUGCAACGCUACGUGUGGUGUGAUAAUAUCUUCACUGCAUAGUUGUAAUGAAGUUUGGCUUCUAACAGUCCUUCGUUGGACAACACUUGACC
rnacentral:misc_RNA from 1 species